AUCUGGCUUAGUUAGGAGGCAUAAAUUGAUGGUUCUGUUCAACCUUCUCAGGCCUUUUGAGGGGACUCCAUUUCAUUGACAUCUCAAUCAUAUGGUGUCCUCCAAGCAGCCUUAGACAUUU